ensembl:lncRNA
CAGCCCCUCGGUUUCCUCCGAUGUCCUCUGGAAAUGUGCAGCCAGGACCAUGUAGUCCUGCAUCUGCUUGUGACAUUCAGGACAUUUGGUUCCGUACCGGAUGAGCCUCACGGGGUCUGGGUAGAGUGGAAAAGCUGGAGGCGGGGAGCUGCUGUUGCCUGAGGGGGCACCAUGUUUGGGAGAUGAGGAGGGGGCCAGGGCCGCCAGGGCCGGGGUGCUGGCUGGCGCCGACACGAACAUCUGGUCAGCAGCAAUGGGCUUCACAAGCAGCUGAGAGCACUGCAUGACAAGCCCCUUGCUCUUAUGGUCUCGGGCAUGCCGGAGCAGGCUGCACUUAUUGAAGAAGAGCAGUGUCUGUGAGCAGAGAGUGCACAGCACCUCGAUGUGGACACUGCGCCGGCUGUAGUGCUGGCUCAGACUCUUCUCUAAGGCAAAUGCGUCCCCGCACUCCAAGCAGCAGUACCCACUGGCCGGCACAUGGAUCCUGCUGUCUGCAGGAGGGCUGAGAUUCGGUGCAUAGAGGGGCACGGGGUUAGAGCUGUGCAGGACCUUGUUGAAGACUUCCACAAUCAGGGGGCGGCCUUCUUCACCUGGUGCACCAGGGGCACUGACAUCUGUGUGAGCUGGGGCUGGCUCUGUCUCUGUGCAGAGGAUUUGGCCGUCACAGAUGCAGCGACGCUGUGGGGGACCAGGUUGAGGUUGGCCAGGUGCACGGCUUUGGGCAGGAGACUGGUAGGGGCCAAGGCCUGUGCAGCCAUGCUCUGUUGCUUCUUGCCCAUCUUCGAGCUCUGGGCCACCCCCUUGGGGACCAGGGGUGCAGAGCUCUCGCAGGGAGAUGAAGAGUCACCAGCCUUUGUCACAUUCUCGUCCCCUUUCCUGUCACCCUGGGGGCUCCCUGAAUUUGUGCCUGCCUCAGAAAGGUGCCCCUCCACAGGCAGGGCUGUGCCUUCUUCCCCUGGCACCUCGCCUGUGGCCUCAGCAAUGGCACUCCCUACAGGUGACUCCACAGGGGACUUACUUAGAUCAUCAGGGUCUGGCAGGAUCCUGGUAACAGUCCGUUUGAUUUCCCCUGACGAUGUCUUGAUGGUUUUGAUUCUGACUUUGGGGAUGGCUGGCGGGGAGCUGGCAGCCACAGACGGAGAGCCUCUGCUGCUGCCGUCACUGCAGAUGCUCCGUGGGCUGUCCGAUGGCUUUAUGCUUUUCCGAGUAGCCUCCAGAGGGCUCCGGGGACUCUUUGGUGACUUGGGCAUUUUGGGGCUACCUUUGGAACCCUCUUUGGUGGCCCCCGAGGGAUCCUUUGUGUGGCCAGAUUGAUCCUCCUUGGUGACACUAGCCACCCUUUUGGCCUGUAAGGCCACUAAGGCUGCAACACAGGAUGACAGCCUGGAAUGAGCAGGCUUGAGGCGCUGCCUGGGGGCACAGAUGAGCAGGCUCCCAGCUGCGGAAUGGGCUUCUUGGGCUCACUGACACUGUGGCCAGGGUGGCUGUCGAACUCCAAAGCUUCCCCAAAGAAUUGACUGGAAUCCAGCUCUCUGUGGGGCUCCACUACCUUCUGCUCACCCUGAGAGCACUCCUCCUGACUCUCCAAGGGUAAGGGCUCGGGCUUGGGUUCUUUCUUACAAAAGUGAUCAAACAUGUGCAGUUCCGGGACUGGAAACUUGGUCAGUACCUCCAGGACUGGGCUCACCGGCAGUCCCACACCCAGGAGGGGGUGGAAAAUAACUGUCCGAGUGCUUGGGCUUUAUUCUAAACCCAUUAUCUUUGAUGGAAUCCUCAGGCUCUGGGCUAGAGAUCGGGCUGAACUGGUUGAAGGUGGGUAAUGGCUCAGACUUGGGAGGUUCCAGCUUUCCAGAGAAACUCCUGGCACUGUCUCCAUUUAAGAAAGUGGAGUCAAACUUUCCACAGUUGGGCGAUUCUGGAGGCAGAUCUGGACCCCGGAAGCCAUUGUGCAGGAGGCUAGGGGUGACAUGGUCUUUCUCCGCCUCAAAGGACUCUUGGCGGCUGGUGUUCUUGACAAUGACACUCACAGCCGGCACAUCCGGGGCAGAUCCUGAGUGAGACAGGGGCACGCUCUCAUCCAGACACAUGCCUGAGGGCUUGAGGGGACUCUCAUUCUCCUCACUGGGAGUCUGGAUGGCCUCCUUGGCAUCAAGGCUUGUGGGGUCUGGGAUGUCGAAGGCAGCAAGAAGAUCAUCAAAAUCAGGGGUUUUCAUAUCCCCCAUGGCUGGAGAGCUCACCAAGGGCUG